GAGUAAAUUACACAACCAGACUUUCACAUUCUCUCUCAUUAUCUCUCUAACUUUAACUCCACCACCACCACAUCUGAAUCACCACCCACCCUCAAUAUCCCCAAAGAAUGAUUACUCUUUUAUAUCAAAUUACCACAUAGAAAAUCUAAACCCAUCUUGAAUGAUAAUGAUAAAAUUGAGGUCAAACCACCAUCCAAUUGGGUCAAAGUUCCAGAAGGAUUUCGUGAAAUGAGACCUUUAGAAGAUAUGGAAUGUGAGAAAGCUGGUAGUUCUCUUCCAAAGAAGAUAAAUAGUGACGAUUCCACCUUGAACGCACCGGAUCUUGGCUUUGCCGGCCGCAAUCUCCAUCUUCAUCGCACCUCUCUUUCCCUCUCUAAGAAUCUUUUUUUUUCUUUCUCCCUCCCUGCUUAGAUCUAAAAUCAAUUUGGGGGUUAGUGUCCAGAUGCAUGGUACACUUGGCGCCACCAGAUGCUCCACCUCUCCGCCGCCCAACAUCAACAGUUCAGCACCACAACCUACCCAUGUUACCAUCAGCCAGCACCACCGUCAAUACCUACCAAAGGGUUUCGAUUCAUAUUCCGGAAAAAAAAAUCAUUUUUACACCCCCUUUUCAUGUGUCAUUUGAUGCUUGUUUCAUUCAAUGUGCAGGGUUUCGAUUCAUAUGUUUGUAACUAAGCUGUUUUUAUGUAUGCCCACCAAGUGUUUGAUGAAAUUUUUUUGAAGCCAAAUUAGAGCUAGGGUAUGGUUUUGUUGCAGAUAAGAAGCAACGGCAUCCCGCUUGCAACUUCCGGGGGCUGAUGCGGUUCUGUUACGUGUGGAACUGGAGUGGUGUUUAGGGAGGUGUGUAGUGUGAAGAAUGGCGGGGAGUUCGAGUGAGGAAUCCGGGCAGCAGCGUUCCGGGGAGGCAAGUGAUGACUCAGACUGUGUAUUGGUCGUUCCAAUUUUCUGGCAAGGUUCCGACAUCUCAGGCGAGCGGUGAUGGUGGCGGGUGGAGUUCUUGAGUUCCAGAUAUAUACAGAGAGAGACAUUUUAUAUAUAUUUUAUUUUUAAGUUUUGUACAAAACAGUCCCUGUCCCUCUUUACAAAAUAGCCCCUGGGAACGUGAAUAGACAAAUAUGCCCUCAUAUGCAAUAUACAUGACCAGAUUUAACCAAAAAAUCUAACUGGGUUUGGCCUAAAGGACAUAACAUGCAAGAUUUUAGAAGGUUAAGGACAGCGCCUGUAAACUUUUGGAAAAAAAGGUGUGACAACCCUCACAAUUA